UCAAUAGGACAGAAGAGCUCCUUGGCACUGGAUGCCUCCGGGUCUGGUUGAGAGAGGAAUGGUUAGGAGACUGUUCUGAGGAUACGCAGACAUCAUCCAAAGCUUCCUACAUUCAGAUGAGGACAGAGGUUGGGCCAGAGCUUUGUAAGCUUGUUACCUAAGGAUGGUUCUGACCAUGUAAGCAGAUCACAGAAGCUGGAGGCAAAGGAUGCCAAGAUGGGAAAGCCACAUAAUGGAAGGAUCCUGGAUUUCAGAGCUGUCACUUGGAGGAGGGGCACCCAGUGAAGGUGUCUUAUCUAACCCACACCAUAUCUUCAUGAAGUGGCCAUAUGGAUUUGAUCCCUAUCCUUCAGAGGUGCUCAGCCUAAGGGAACACGGAUAGUAGAUUAAGCACUGACCAGAGCCAGCCUUGACAAUGUGCUGAUGGCAACCUAGAACAUAAGCAGAGGAGUAUACAGGACAAGAACUUGAUGGUCUCGGGAAAAUGGACAACAUGACUCAGGUGAAAAAGAUUGAUCAUCAGAUGUUUCUUAUGUAUCAACCUGAUAUUUAAAUCCAUGAAGGACAGAGACGACAAAGGCAGGUGGAAUAGAUAGAGAAGAGAUUCAAGGUCUGAGCUCUACAUUACUCAAACUGUUAGAGAUUAGGAAGAAGAGGAAGACCUGGCAAAAGAAUGUCCUGGGAUGUAGAAAGAAAACCAGAAGCUUGUGUUCUCUGGAAACCAAAUGAAGAAAGGGCUUCCAGAAGGACAGACAAAGUGUAGUGUGUCAAAGGCUCCUGAGCAAUCAGAGGAGAGCACAAAGGGGCUCACAGGACUUUGGUAUCUGGAUCACCCAGUGACACUUCCUGAUCACGAGAAACUGUCAGACCAACAGGGGCACUUUCUGAAACCAGCAGUUCUUCAGUGCCCAAAUGCAACCUUGAUGGUUUGAUUUUGGAGGAUGGCAAUUCAUUAACAGCACUCCCCAGUGAUAAAUAUGAAAACCAAUAAAACCCCCCACCCAAGGCAAUCUCUCCCAGCUCCUCGCUUUGAGUAAAGUGAGUAACCUCCAUUUCUGCCAACUCCUGUCUUGUCUGAAGCCACAUUUCCCCAGCAAUGUCACAUAUGCAUUUCUUGAUCCUGGUCAUUUCUCCUCUUGGGAGAUGAAUCAUAAAGAAAAUGAGAUCUGUGUGCCCUGGUGACUAUGGAUGCAAGAGUCUGCUGCCCUGGAGGGAACAGCUGGAAAAGUAGAUGGUGAAGACGUGUGGGGGGGAAACAGUGGAGAAGGCAUCUUUGCAGGGGAUCAAGGUGACAGAGUGAUUAGUUACACUGUUUUGACAUGUGAGAACAGGGGGUUAUAAAAAUGGAUACAGGAAGAGGGAGAGAAAGUAAGGACCAAAACAUGAAGCCAGUCAUGAAUGUUUUUACAUAAAAAGCAGCAGAUUUACGGCAAAUAUGUGAUGUUUCCACAUUUUCUGCCUCUAGUUAGCAGGGGCAGCACAAAGAGCAUUACUGUGGAGCUGAACUUUGGGUAAAAGAUUAACAGCCAGUCCUUUCUCUCCAGUGUCUGCUUCCUUCUGGGCUUGCCCUGGGGGAAAAGGAGGGCUGGCAUGGAUAUGCCUGCAGCCCUCACCCUAGAUGUUCUUCCACGCCUCUCUGUUCAUUCAUUGCUUAGUCAUUCCUCAGGCAUGGAUUGAGACCACUGUGUGCCCAGGACCGACCUGGCCUAGGAUGGACAUAGAGAUGGAAAAGGCACAGGGAGCAGGUGACAGAGACAAAUCAAGGUCAUGGAGAAUAGCAGAGUAAGAUAGAAGAUGAAGGCAGGAGAUGGGGUUCUUGAGAAAGCGAGAGCAGGACUGACCCGUGUCUGCCUCACCUGUUAUUGCUGUAGCCUCUUCUCCUUGGAGUAUCCCUCCUGCUCUUGCAUCACCUUAGGAACUUGGAUCAGAGAGGAAAGUUACGGCCUGGAUAUGUUGUAGUAGGAGGGGACAAACAUGUUUGGAGACAGAAAUGCUUGGGGAGCGGGUGUUUUUGGGGGAUGAGACUUUCCAGGUCUCUCAAUUCACACUAUGUAGGUAGUUCACUGCACAGCUUAAAUAAGAGACAACUCUCCGGAGUGGUUGGCUCUCAUCCAAAAAAUGUGUUUUGGGCCUCAGAUUUCCAACGGAAGGGCUGAAGCGUGACUGGCCUGAUGUCAACUACUGAAGUCCACCUGCCCCUGCCCUAUCAGGUGUGGAAAUGCUGGGGUUCCUCUCUCAGAACCUACUUCCUGAGAUGUCGAAAUAUACCCAAGAGUAUUUCUGGGCCUUCUCCAAUCCGAAACUGUUUAGUUUUUGUGUGUGUGUGCCUACUUGGCCACACUAGAAGACAGAGGUGGCCUGGGUGAAAUGCAGGUUUCUAGAGGCUCUCUGACAAAGCUCAGGCCACCAGCCCCAGGCCAGCCUGUGGGUAGUCCUGGCUGACAGUCACUUCAUACCUCACCUGGGCUUUUUGCCAAAUUCAAAGUGUGUGUAUAUGUGGAGUGCUGGGUUCCCACCACUGACAGUCUGUAAGUCAUUCACUUAGCUCAAUUUGUCUUACUUUCUUCUGAAAUUUCUUCCUUCUUGUUCUUUUUCCCAGGAGAAACCAGGAGAAGGCAGUCCUAGGGCAGUCUCCGGGCCAGCUUUCCCUAAUAAGAAGGCAGAGCUCCUCUUCACCCAGACUUCAGACCUAUAGAGGCAGCCUGGGGUCCCGGGAUGCCCUUGCACUCAGAGAUGUCCCCAGAGUCCUAGGGAAAUGGAGGAUAACUAGGAGGAAGCUGUUCAUGGCUGGCGAUGAGGUCUAUACCUUCUUGUCCGUCUCAGUGCUGUCUGCUAUUGAAUUUUUGUGCAGAUCACAUUAACUUAAAGCCAGUUCUCAAGAAGCUCCCCCUGCCGCCGGCAUAUCCACCAGUUGCUCCCCUUUCCUGCCAUUAAUCAGGGUCUGCUAGUUAGAGAACAAAUUCCUAUUUGUCCAAACAGUUGCCAACACCCCCACCCCAAGGUAGUUAAAUGAGGAUGAAUGGGUCAUUCUUAUUAAAAAAUGACUUAAAUUUCUCAAAUUCUAUUUAUGUUUCUUUUACAUCCCAAUUUUCUAUAGAUUUAGUGACUCCAAAUGAUAAGGUCUCAAGCUCAUAAUAAUUUAUCCCUUGGGUAACACACAAGGCUUGGUGGUAUUUCAGUAAUAUUCAUGACAACAGCAGCUGUCGUGCUAAUAAGGACUGAUGUCACCAGAGCACUUUCUAUGUGCCAAGCAUGGUGCACAACACUUUACAUACAUUAUGUCAUUUAAUUUUCACAAAACAAUUACAAUAACAAGAUCAAAGAUUCCUGGUCAUAGAUUGCCAUAACAGAUACAGUAAUCACGAAAAAGUUUGAGAUAUUGUGAGAAUUACGCAGAUAUUGUGAGAAAUAUGACCCAGAGACAAGAAGCGAGCACAUGCCGUUAGAAAAAUGGCACCAACAGACUUGCUUGCUGCAGGGUUACACAUACCUUCAAUUUGUAAAAAAAAAAAACUGUAAUAUCUGCAAAACGCAAUAAAGAAAAGUGUAAUAAAAUGC
rnacentral:lncRNA from 1 species